UGGGGAAUCUUCCGCAAUGGACGAAAGUCUGACGGAGCGACGCCGCGUGAGUGAUGAAGGCCCUUGGGUCGUAAAGCUCUGUCAUUGGGGACGAACGACCGCCUCAGGAAAUGGGGGCGGAGUGACGGUACCCAAGAAGGAAGCCACGGCUAACUACGUGCCAGCAGCCGCGGUAAUACGUAGGUGGCAAGCGUUGUCCGGAAUUAUUGGGCGUAAAGCGCGCGCAGGUGGGAUCUUAAGUCCAUUUUGAAAGUUCGGAGCUCAACUCCGUGAUGGGAUGGAAACUGGGAUUCUUGAGUAUCGGAGAGGAAAGCGGAAUUCCCCGUGUAGCGGUGAAAUGCGUAGAUAUGGGGAGGAACACCAGUGGCGAAGGCGGCUUUCUGGACGAUGUCUGACACUGAGGCGCGAAAGCCAGGGGAGCGAACG
rnacentral:rRNA from 1 species